UUUUUCGCGUCACUUCCGGGUUCCAUAGGCGCCUCGCGUUUAUCUCGGGCUCCUUCCCUCCCCAUUCCCGGCAGCAGCAGAAAAAUGCCUUUGAGGCCUUCUCCACCAUCUUCUCCAGGUGCUGAAAGGAAAAGAGUCACCAUGCGGCCAGCUCAGGGCCAGAUGUCCUUUGAAGAGGUGGCCGUGUAUUUCACCCAGGGGGAGUGGGCCCUGCUGCGCCCGGCC